rnacentral:rRNA from 1 species
AAUGAACGCUGGCGGCAGGCUUAACACAUGCAAGUCGAGCGAGCGGCGGACGGGUGAGUAAUGUCUGGGAAACUGCCUGAUGGAGGGGGAUAACUACUGGAAACGGUAGCUAAUACCGCAUACCAUCAGAUGUGCCCAUAUGGGAUUAGCUAGUAGGUGAGGUAAUGGCUCACCUAGGCGACGAUCCCUAGCUGGUCUGAGAGGAUGAUCACCCACACUGGGACGUGGCCACGGCCCAGAGUCCUACGGGAGGACGCAGUGGGGAAAAUUGCACAAUGGGCGCAAGCCUGAUGCAGCCAUGCCGCGUGUAUGAAGAAGGCCCUAGGGUUGUAAAGUACUUUCAGUCGGGAGGCGUUACUCGCAGAAGAAGCACCGGCUAACUCCGUGCCAGCAGCCGCGGUAAUAC